rnacentral:rRNA from 1 species
UACAGAGGUCCCAAGCGUUGUUCGGAUUCAUUGGGCGUAAAGGGUGCGUAGGCGGCGCGGUAAGUCGGGUGUGAAAUCUCGGAGCUUAACUCCGAAACUGCAUUCGAUACUGCCGUGCUUGAGGACUGGAGAGGAAACUGGAAUUUACGGUGUAGCGGUGAAAUGCGUAGAUAUCGUAAGGAAGACCAGUGGCGAAGGCGGGUCUCUGGACAGUUCCUGACGCUGAGGCACGAAGGUCAGGGGAGCAAACGGG